UGAAUGCUUACAUCAUCCCUUCACCAGAGAUAAAACCUGGCAGACACAGAAACAGAUUUGCCAAACAGACAGCACCACGUCCCAGACCUCAGCAGUUCAGUUAGUUUCAACAAUAUGAACACCACAACUGUGAAGACGGCCCUCAUGAUGCUCGUGCUGUGUUCAGGAUUUCUUCACUUUACAUUUGCAUCUCAACGUCUACGAUUCUUUGAUAUUUUUGAAGACAAAGACAUUUGGACUACUUCAUCCACCAAAUGUAAAAACAUAAAUGCAUCACUGGUUACUCUGUAUGAUGAAGAGGACGCCAAAUUCACAGCAAAUUUCACAAAACAAGCCAAAAAGCCAGACGAAAUGCUCUAUGUCUGGCUCGGUCUGCAUCGAAGUCUCACUCCAUCAAAUGGAGGCUCUGCCAGUUUGAAGCAAAGAUGUGGAGCCAUUCAUAACAACAACCUGGAAUGUUUUGAUUGCGGAGAAAAUAUAACCUUCGUGUCGUCCAUCCAGAGUAAGUUAAAGCAUGUUUGAUGUCCUUUUUCAUAUGUUCAAUGUAUUUGCUAAAAAUAAGAUUCACUGAAUUAGAAAAAAGAAAAAAAGAUAAGAAUGGUACAAUGACAACAUGUUUUUAA